UACGGAGGGUGCAAGCGUUGUUCGGAAUUAUUGGGCGUAAAGGGCAGGUAGGUGGUCUUGAAAGUCUACUGUGAAAUCCCCGAGCUUAACUCGGGAAGUGCGGUGGAUACUCCAAGACUAGAGUGCUGGAAGGGUGCGUGGAAUUCCCGGUGUAGCGGUGAAAUGCGUAGAUAUCAGGAGGAACACCAGCGGCGAAGGCGGCGCUCUGGGCCGGAACUGACGCUGAGGAGCGAAAGCCAGGGGAGCGAACGGG
rnacentral:rRNA from 1 species